UCCCUGGUGGCUCAGACAGUAAAGCGUUUGCCUGCAAUGCGGGACAGCCGGGUUUGAUCCCUGGCUCGGGAA
rnacentral:tRNA from 1 species